CGCGGUAAUACGGAGGGGGCUAGCGUUGUUCGGAAUUACUGGGCGUAAAGCGCUCGUAGGCGGAUUGGUCAGUCAGGGGUGAAAGCCCGGAGCUCAACUCCAGAACUGCCUUUGAUACUGCCAGUCUUGAGUUCGGGAGAGGUGAGCGGAAUACCGAGUGUAGAGGUGAAAUUCGUAGAUAUUCGGUGGAACACCAGAGGCGAAGGCGGCUCACUGGACCGAUACUGACGCUGAGGAGCGAAAGCGUGGGGAGCAAACAGGAUUAGAUACCCUGGUAGUCCACGCCGUAAACGAUGAGAGCUAGUUGUCUGGCAGCAUGCUGUUAGGUGACGCAGCUAACGCAUUAAGCUCUCCGCCUGGGGAGUACGGCCGCAAGGUUAAAACUCAAAGAAAUUGACGGGG
rnacentral:rRNA from 1 species